CCAUAGAAUACAGCUCUGCCUUUACAGUUUUUUUUUUUUUCAAUUGCUUACACACAAAACCUUUAUGUAAGCACACAAUUUCUAAAACCUUUCACUCAAACUUCACAACUCCACAUCAAAUCAGCAAAACCAUAAGCUAAUUCUCA